rnacentral:snRNA from 1 species
AUGGAUCGGACUUUGUCGAUCCA